rnacentral:lncRNA from 1 species
GAUGCAUGGAUAACUUUUUAUCCAUAUGCUUUUCUAAGCAUAUUGCAGCUACUUGGUCUCUAAGUUAUAUGAGUUCACCUAAUAGUUAUUUUUCACACUUCCUAGUUAAGUCAGAUCCACCGUUGACAAGCAGAUGUAAAGCCGUCAUUGGGUCCCUCACCUAACAGUUAUUGGGCCCAACUCCAUCUUUACCCCACAGCAACUCUUUGCUAAUAGAGUGGUUGCAUAUUCUCGAUGCAACUGAAUCACUGUGAUCAGCCGAAAAUAAUCAACGCC